AACGAACGCUGGCGGCAGGCUUAACACAUGCAAGUCGAGCGCCCCGCCAGGGCAUCGGCAGACUGGUGAGGAACGCGAGGGAACGUACCUAUUGGUUUAAAACAACUCCGGGAAACUGGAACCAAUACCGGACAAGCCCUAACAGGGGAAGGUUGAUCGCCGAAAGAUCGGGCCGCUUCUGAUUAGCGAGUGGGUGGGGUGACGGCUCGCCAAAGCAACGUGCAGUAGCUGUUGUGAGAGGCUGAUAAGCCACGCUGGGACUGAGACACGGCCCCGACUCCUACGGGAGGGAGCAGUGGGGAAUAUUGGACGAUGGGCGCAAGCCUGAUCCAGCCAUGCCGGGUGAGUGAUGAAGGCCUUAGGGUUGUAAAGCUCUUUUGCCCGGGAAGAUAAUGACUGUACCGGAAGAAUAAGCCCCGGCUAACUUCGUG
rnacentral:rRNA from 1 species